GAUGAACGCUGGCGGCGUGCCUAAUACAUGCAAUUCGAGCGAAGAGAUGAGGAGCUUGCUCCUCUGACGUUAGCGGCGGACGGGUGAGUAACACGAUGAUAACCUACCUAUAAGACUGGGAUAACUGCGGGAAACCGGAGCUAAUACCGAAUAAUAUAUAGAACAGCAUGGUCCAAUAGUGAAAGAAGGCUUUGCUGUCACUUAUAGAUCGCACACCGCCGCAUAAGCUAGUUGGUAAGGUAACGGCUUACCAAGGCAACGAUGCGUAGCCGACCGGAGAAGGUGAGCCGCCAUCCUGAGACUGAGCCACGGUCCACACGCCUCAGAGAGGCAGCAGUAGGGAAUCUACCGCAAUAGACGAAAGCCUGACGGAGCAACGCCGCGGGAGUGAUGAUGGUCUUCGGAUCGUAAAACUCUGUUAUUAGGGAAGAACAAAUGUGUAAGUAACUAUGCACGUCUUGACGGUACCUAAUCAGAGAGCCACGGCUAACUACGUG
rnacentral:rRNA from 1 species